rnacentral:rRNA from 1 species
GGGCUCACACAAGCGGUGGAGCAUGUUGUUUAAUUCGAAGCAACGCGAAGAACCUUACCUGGGUUUGAAAUGCAUGGAUUAACUCUAUGAAAGUAGAGGGAUUGCCGCAAGGUGUAACAUGCACAGGUGCUGCAUGGCUGUCGUCAGCUCGUGCCGUGAGGCGUCGGGUUAAGUCCCUUAACGAGCGAAACCCCUGUCGUAUGUUGCCAGCGAGUAAUGUCGGGCACUCUUACGAGACUGCCGGUGUCAAACCGGAGGAAGGCGGGGACGACGUCAAGUCAUCAUGGUCCUUACAUCCAGGGCUACAAACGUGCUACAAUGGUCGAUACAGAGAGACGCAAUACCGUGAGGUGGAGCAAAUCUUCAAAAUCGACCCCAGUUCAGAUUGGAGGCUGAAACUCGCCUCCAUGAAGUUGGAAUCGCUAGUAAAUCGCGGAUCAGCCACGCCG